ACUGGUUCCAAGUGGUGGGUAGAUGGCACUGAGAUCUAGCACCAUUUGAAAUCAGUGCU
rnacentral:pre_miRNA from 2 species